rnacentral:tRNA from 1 species
GGGCCGCUAGCUCAAUGGUAGAGCACCAGCCUUUUAAGCUGAUUGUUCUGGGUUCGAAUCCCAGGCGGCUCA